CAUGCAUGGCAGAAGGCAGAGAGAGAGACAGGAGUGGGUAGAGAGCACAAUGAGGACUGACAAUGAGAAAUGUGACGUUGCACUGAUAUACACCUACAAGCUCAACUGAGAAACUCAGUAUUAUGGAAGACAUGAGUAAGAGGAAAAUACUACUGAGAACAAACUUAUGAAACUGCCUUACAUUGUGUCAGACCAUUUGUCUAUCAAGUCUGUGCAUGGGCAGCCCAGAUGCCAAUUUGUAUGGCAUGAAGCUAUGUCUGCCAGCUUCCUGACUGUGGGAGUCAGCACCUCGGGAGUGCCCCCCUGAGUCCCACCCACUGCUGAACUGGGACCCCUGCAGAGUAUUCAGCGAUCCCUGAUGACUGGCCACAGACCAGCUGGAGUGGAAUGCUAGCCAUGUGUUCAAGGAGAUACCCAGGGUUGGUGUUGGUGUACCCAGGUACACAUCCCCAUGGUACACAUCCCGUCAAGAGGUUUCUUCCACAGGCAGGACCCAUCCAGCAAUCCAGCAACAUCCUGGUAAGCAGCCGGUGCCUCAAAUCAUCCUUGGCAGCAGCAAAACUGGCACAGGCCCCCCUCAGGAUGCCCUCCUACCCCUGAGCUCUCAGCUCCACAACAAGGCCACACACACACAGUAACACACAAUAUUAAGGCACCAAUCCAAUCCAAUUUCUUACAAAGACCAAUGGUUCAACCUUAGAAAUCUUUUGAACCAUUGGGUUCUGUAAGAAAUUGGAUUGGUGCCUUAAUAUUGCAUGUUACUGUGUGUCUUUCUGUGAAUGGAGUUGAUACUCCAACUUGGUGUUAUAUCCCAUUGCUCCUAACUGCUUUAAACUUUAUGAAAGCGCUGAAGAUAUUUGUUUAUUUGAAAUGAGUGAGAUUAAAUCCAGAAGCCUUGUCUUGGAUUUCAUACUUUGGAUCUCAUACUCUGGACUGGGAGCAGAUCUAUUUGAGUAUCUCACAAA